UACGUAGGGUGCGAGCGUUGUCCGGAAUUAUUGGGCGUAAAGAGCUCGUAGGCGGUUCGUCGCGUCGAAUGUGAAAACCCGGGGCUCAACUCCGGGCCUGCAUUCGAUACGGGCGGACUAGAGUUCGGUAGGGGAGACUGGAAUUCCUGGUGUAGCGGUGAAAUGCGCAGAUAUCAGGAGGAACACCGGUGGCGAAGGCGGGUCUCUGGGCCGAUGACUGACGCUGAGGAGCGAAAGCGUGGGGAGCGAACAGG
rnacentral:rRNA from 1 species